rnacentral:rRNA from 1 species
GGAAUAUUGGACAAUGGGCGAAAGCCUGAUCCAGCCAUGCCGCGUGUGUGAAGAAGGUCUUCGGAUUGUAAAGCACUUUAAGUUGGGAGGAAGGGCAGUACAUUAAUACUGUGCUGUUUUGACGUUACCGACAGAAUAAGCACCGGCUAACUCUGUGCCAGCAGCCGCGGUAAUACAGAGGGUGCAAGCGUUAAUCGGAAUUACUGGGCGUAAAGCGCGCGUAGGUGGUUCGUUAAGUUGGAUGUGAAAUCCCCGGGCUCAACCUGGGAACUGCAUUCAAAACUGUCGAGCUAGAGUAUGGUAGAGGGUGGUGGAAUUUCCUGUGUAGCGGUGAAAUGCGUAGAUAUAGGAAGGAACACCAGUGGCGAAGGCGACCACCUGGACUGAUACUGACACUGAGGUGCGAAAGCGUGGGGAGCAAACAGGAUUAGAUACCCGGG